ACACAACAAGAAAAAGAUUUUCCCACGAUCUGAAAUUCGUUGAAAACGGAAUGUGAAACAAAUCUCUUUGAAUUUGUGAAAACAAACGAGUGCUUCAGUUCGAAGGAACAUCGACUGUGUGAAACCAGCCACACAAGAAAGAAAAUUUGGACUGAUAUACCAAAUGUACUGAAACAAGGUGUGGAAGUGUUGAAACGAAAGUGGAAGAGCUUUUGCGUGACAGAUAUUCGCGUAAUAAAUGCGCUUUCACAAGCUCCAAGUAUAGGAUUGGCACCGACGGCGGCUUCAUCAUGACAGUAUUUUGAAGCAUUAAAGGUUUUGUAAACACUUAUCAGCAAAUGAAGUGGAACUGCCAGCAACUACGACCCUGAAUGAUCAGUUCUCGUGUAGAAAAAAUCGACGAAACGACUUGUGUUCUGGCUGCUGGGAGUGAUCACAAAACUCCACGGAAAUGGAACAAACAGCAGCACAAAAAUAUUGAUCUCCGUGACACUAAGCUCAUGGUGAAAACAAUGUAUGCAGCAUAACCUCCGAGCCAUGAUUC